rnacentral:rRNA from 1 species
UACAGAGGGUGCAAGCGUUAAUCGGAAUUACUGGGCGUAAAGCGUGCGUAGUCGGUUAUCUAAGUCGGAUGUGAAAUCCCCGGGCUCAACCUGGGAAUUGCAUUCGAUACUGGAUAGCUAGAGUUCGGCAGAGGGAAGUGGAAUUUCGGGUGUAGCGGUGAAAUGCGUAGAUAUCCGAAGGAACAUCAGUGGCGAAAGCGGCUUCCUGGACCAGAACUGACGAUCAGGCACGAAAGCGUGGGGAGCAAACAGG